rnacentral:lncRNA from 1 species
ACUGAAUGCUGGAGGCAACUGGAACACAAUGGAGAUGAACGGAGAUGACCCAUCAUUUCACCUACCCAGUGGUAACUGCAAUACCUUUCAGGAGGAAAAAGCACACAGCCCCUGAGAGGAAGGUCCUCACCCAUGGACGCAGCUUGCUGAUGGCAGUGAUAAGAUCAAUCAGGAUUUUGGGUUUGGCAAUUUCCCCCUAUACAACGAUAGUUUCCACCUUUCAUGCUGAGGUGCUUCUUGACUGGGAAGGAGUGGAAGAGGUCCUAGGUGCAGAAGGGUAUGGAAGAUAAGGUCAAAGGAUGUGCUGGUGGGAAUGGGAGACAACUGAGAAGGUGAGACAAGCUGGAGGAAAUGUCAGGAGCUGCUGAGAGAAGCUCAGCCUGACCAGAGAUGAGAAUUGCCAUCUUGAAUCGUCAGGAAGUGAAGGAAAGCCCAGGUGAAUGCCACCCAAUCAAAAAGAAAAAACAAAUGCAGAUGGUAAGGUAGAGAAGGCUCUGAAGCCCAGGUAAUGAGAGCCAUGUUACCCUGGACAGAAGCAUCCAACACCACACAUCUCCAAGGAUGUUGGAGAUCCAGCAUCUGGAUCCAGCUAACUUCUGCAUCCUCUUCUGUACUCACAAGAGUUAACAUGGACGUCCAUGCAUCUGCUGGACAACACCCCCUAGAACGAGUGUCUUUGUAUGUUUUCACACACAUAAUGAUGUUAUAUCUGCUGCCAUCCUACUGAGUAAGGG